UACGUAGGGUGCAAGCGUUGUCCGGAAUUAUUGGGCGUAAAGAGCUCGUAGGCGGUCUGUCACGUCGGCUGUGAAAACCCGAGGCUCAACCUCGGGCCUGCAGUCGAUACGGGCAAACUAGAGUACUGCAGGGGAGACUGGAAUUCCUGGUGUAGCGGUGAAAUGCGCAGAUAUCAGGAGGAACACCGGGUGGCGAAGGCGGGGUCUCUGGGCAGUAACUGACGCUGGAGGAG
rnacentral:rRNA from 1 species